rnacentral:rRNA from 1 species
CGCGAAGAACCUUACCAAGGCUUGACAUGUCGGAAGUAGCAACCCGAAAGGGAAGCGACCUGUUAAGUCAGGAGCCGUCACAGGUGCUGCAUGGCUGUCGUCAGCUCGUGCCGUGAGGUGUUGGGUUAAGUCCCGCAACGAGCGCAACCCUUGUUGCCAGUUAUUUUCUCUGGCGAGACUGCCCCGCAAAACGGGGAGGAAGGUGGGGAUGACGUCAAGUCAGCAUGGCCCUUAUGCCUUGGGCUACACGCACGCUACGAUGGGUGGUACAAAGGGCAGCAAUGGAGCGAUCCGGAGCUAAUCCCACAGAGCCAUCCUCAGUUCGGAUUGCAGGCUGAAACCCGCCUGCAUGAAGUUGGAGUUGCUAGUAACCGCAGGUCAGCAUACUGCGGUGAAUGCGUUCUCGGGCCUUGUACACACCGCCCGUCACGUCAUGAAAGUUGGCAACACCUGAAGUCGAUGGGCUAACCCCGGUUUCCGGGGAGGCAGUCGCCGAGGGUGGGGUUGAUGAUUGGGACGAAGUCGUAACAAGGUAACCUUAAUUAAAA